rnacentral:tRNA from 1 species
GAGGGUAUAGCUCAGUGUUAGAGUGCUUGCCUAGCACACACAAGGUCCUGGGUUCAUAACCCCAGCACCUCCA